rnacentral:rRNA from 1 species
UACAGGGGGUGCAAGCGUUGCUCGGAAUCACUGGGCGUAAAGCGAGCGCAGGCGGCCGAUUAAGUCAGAGGUGAAAGCCCGGGGCUCAACCCCCGGGAAUGGCCUUUGGAAACUGGUAGGCUUGAAUGCAGGAGAGGGUACGCGGAAUUCUUGGGUGUAGAGGUGAAAUGCGUUGGAUAUUGGAAGGAACGCCGGAGGCGAAAGCGGCGCACUGGAUCUCGUACUGACGCUGAGGCGCGAAAGCCAGGGGAGCAAACGGG